GAGGAAAUGGGACCCAGACAGUUGGGAUGGC
rnacentral:piRNA from 1 species